GUCGAGCGAGAAAAUUCCUUCGGGAAUGAUUAAAGCGGCGGACGGGUGCGUACAACAUGGAUAACCUACCUUAAGGUCCGGGAUAACCUCGGGAAACCGAAGCUAAUACCGGAUAAGACCACAUUAUCUGCGGAUAAAGGGGUAAAAGUUUUUCGCCUUUUGAUGGGUCCAUGCUCCAUCAGGUUGUUGGUGAGGUAAAAGCUCACCAAGCCGAAGACGGAUAGCCGGCCUUAGCGGGUGAUCGGCCACACGGGGACUGAGACACGGCCCCGACUCCUACGGGAGGCAGCAGUGGGGAAUAUUGGGCAAUGGGCGAAAGCCUGACCCAGCCAUGCCGCGUGAAGGAUGAAGGCCUUUGGGUCGUAAACUUCUGUCAGGAGGGACGAGGGGACUUCGGUCUUGACGGUACCUCCAGAGGAAGCCCCGGCUAACUCCGUGCCAGCAGCCGCGGUAAUACGGAGGGGGCAAGCGUUGCUCGGAUUUACUGGGCGUAAAGGGUCCGUAGGCGGUUGAGUAAGUUAGAUGUGAAAGCUCAAGGCUUAACCUUGAAACUGCAUCUA
rnacentral:rRNA from 1 species